GUGGGGAAUAUUGGACAAUGGGCGCAAGCCUGAUCCAGCCAUACCGCGUGGGUGAAGAAGGCCUUCGGGUUGUAAAGCCCUUUUGUUGGGAAAGAAAUCCUGUCGGUUAAUACCUGGCGGGGAUGACGGUACCCAAAGAAUAAGCACCGGCUAACUUCGUGCCAGCAGCCGCGGUAAUACGAAGGGUGCAAGCGUUACUCGGAAUUACUGGGCGUAAAGCGUGCGUAGGUGGUGGUUUAAGUCCGUUGUGAAAGCCAUGGGCUCAACCUGGGAAUUGAAGUGGAUACUGGAUCACUAGAGUGUGGUAGAGAGAUGCGGAAUUUCUGGUGUAGCAGUGAAAUGCGUCGAGAUCAGAAGGAACAUCCGUGGCGAAGGCGGCAUCCUGGGCCAACACUGACACUGAGGCACGAAAGCGUGGGGAGCAAACAGGAUUAGAUACCCCAGUAGUCC
rnacentral:rRNA from 1 species